CCAGACUCCUACGGGAGGCAGCAGUGGGGAAUAUUGCACAAUGGGGGAAACCCUGAUGCAGCGACGCCGCGUGAGUGAAGAAGUAUUUCGGUAUGUAAAGCUCUAUCAGCAGGGAAGAAAAUGACGGUACCUGACUAAGAAGCCCCGGCUAACUACGUGCCAGCAGCCGCGGUAAUACGUAGGGGGCAAGCGUUAUCCGGAUUUACUGGGUGUAAAGGGAGCGUAGACGGCGCUGCAAGUCCGGAGUGAAAGCCCAUGGCUUAACCAUGGUACUGCUCUGGAAACUGUGGAGCUUGAGUGCGGGAGGGGCAGGCGGAAUUCCUAGUGUAGCGGUGAAAUCCGUAGAUAUCUGGAGGAACAUCAGUGGCGAAGGCGACUAUCUGGCACAUAACUGACGCUGAGGAGCGAAAGCGUGGGUAGCAAACAGGAUUAGAUACCCCAGUACU
rnacentral:rRNA from 1 species